rnacentral:rRNA from 1 species
UACGUAGGGAGCGAGCGUUGUCCGGAAUCAUUGGGCGUAAAGAGCAUGUAGGUGGAUCAAUUAGUCUGCUGUGAAAGCAAAGGCUCAACCUUUGAAAGCCGGUGGAUACUGUUGAUCUAGAGUACGGAAGAGGCGAGUGGAAUUCCUGGUGUAGCGGUGGAAUGCGCAGAUAUCAGGAGGAACACCAAUAGCGAAGGCAG